ACGUCUGCGUGAAUACAUAGCGCAGUCGAGGUAGACGCAGAGAACUGAAACAUCUAAGUACCUGCAGGAAGAGAAAGAAAAUUCGAUUCCCUGAGUAGCGGCGAGCGAAACGGGAAAAGCCCAAACCAACAAGCUUGCUUGUUGGGGUUGUAGGACUCCGAUAUGGUAGUCUAUUCAGAUAGUCGAAAUACUUGGAAAAGUAUGUCAAAGAGGGUAAAAACCCCGUAGGCGAAAUUUGGAUAACACCUAGGAGGAUCCUGAGUACGGCGGAACACGAGGAAUUCCGUCGGAAUCCGGGAGGACCAUCUCCCAAGGCUAAAUACUCCCUAGUGACCGAUAGUGAACCAGUACCGUGAGGGAAAGGUGAAAAGCACCCCGGAAGGGGAGUGAAAUAGAUCCUGAAACCGUGUGCCUACAACAAGUUAGAGCCCGUUAAU
rnacentral:rRNA from 1 species